CUUUGAUGCAUAUAAUAAUUUGAAGUCUCCGCCUAUGUUGGAGCACAAUUUAUCAACUCACCAUUAAAACUGUGGCAUCCAGAAUGUACAUAGUCUGAUGGUGACCUCCGAUGGGUGGUAGCUGAUAUCUUCCGUAUUUGUGGAGGAAAUACU